UACGAAGGGGGCUAGCGUUGUUCGGAAUUACUGGGCGUAAAGCGCACGUAGCGGAUGUGCCAGUCAGGGGUGAAAUUCCGGAGCUCAACUUCGGAACUGCCUCUGAUACAGCACGUCUUGAGUCCGGAAGAGGUGGGUGGAAUUCCUAGUGUAGAGGUGAAAUUCGUAGAUAUUAGGAAGAACACCGGUGGCGAAGGCGGCCCGACUGGU
rnacentral:rRNA from 1 species